rnacentral:rRNA from 1 species
UCCAGACUCCUACGGGAGGCAGCAGUGGGGGAUAUUGCACAAUGGGGGGAACCCUGAUGCAGCGACGCCGCGUGGGUGAAGGAGCGUUUCGGCGCGUAAAGCCCUAUCGGCAGGGAAGAAGGAGGACGGUACCUGACUAAGAAGCCCCGGCUAACUACGUGCCAGCAGCCGCGGUAAUACGUAGGGGGCAAGCGUUAUCCGGAUUUACUGGGUGUAAAGGGGGCGCAGACGGCAGCGCAAGCCAGGAGUGAAAGCCCGGGGCCCAACCCCGGGACUGCUCUUGGAACUGCGUGGCUGGAGUGCAGGAGGGGCAGGCGGAAUUCCUGGUGUAGCGGUGAAAUGCGUAGAUAUCAGGAGGAACACCGGUGGCGAAGGCGGCCUGCUGGACUGCAACUGACGUUGAGGCCCGAAAGCGUGGGGAGCAAACAGGAUUAGAUACCCGAGUAGA